rnacentral:rRNA from 1 species
UACGUAGGGUGCGAGCGUUGUCCGGAAUUACUGGCGUAAAGAGCUCGUAGGUGGUUUGUCGCGUUGUUCGUGAAAACUCACAGCUUAACUGUGGGCGUGCGGGCGAUACGGGCAGACUGGAGUACUGCAGGGGAGACUGGAAUUCCUGGUGUAGCGGUGGAAUGCGCAGAUAUCAGGAGGAACACCGGUGGCGAAGGCGGGUCUCUGGGCAGUAACUGACGCUGAGGAGCGAAAGCGUGGGGAGCGAACAGG